rnacentral:lncRNA from 1 species
CUCUCGGCCUUAGCGCCAUCUUCUUGGAAACUUCUGCACCAUGAGAGCCAAGCAGAGAAAGAAGUGAAUGCGCAGGCUGAAACGCAAAAGAAGAAAGGUGAGGCAGAGGGCCAAGUAAACUGCUAGCUUGUGCACCCGCGGAGGCCACAGCAGCAGAAACAUGAAGUGCCAGAGGCUGGGGAUGCUGGCACAAGUUGUUGGACUGCAUGCUACUGUCUAGAGCUUGUCUCAAUGGAUCUAGAACUUCAUCGCCCG